CACCGCAACCAUGGAAGUAUAAAUAACCAUAGAACCCACUUCUUGUUCUCAUUCACUUCUUCCAGAACAACAUCAAGUGAAGAUCUCAGCCGAUCCCUCCUAAAUACGACUACGGUUGAAUGGGAAUGCCGAAAUCCGCAAACUUGCCGAUGACUUCGGCGCUGGCUUACGGCUGCGCUGGGCUCCACGCCGGCCUCGAGGAACAAUCCCUGGGACUAUCUCUGACAAUUGGCCUUAACCCAACUGGAACGAAAGCCCUACCCUAAGGCUUGAGCGGAGUCAUCUUCCAGCAACACAUGGGUAUGCUUGAUCUCUACCAUGGCUACGGUUUUGGCUUUGCUGUUAAUCUUUGUCUAACGAUGGUAAAUGAACUGUAGCUUUUGAGACAAAAUCUAAAAUGUCCACUAUAUAUGAUCUUGAAUAUUGAGUUGAGUUUACUGGUUUGACUUAAUUCUGCACUGUCCAUUUAUACUGGUAUGCCACCUCCAUUGGCUGUCCAAUCAUCCUCAGUGCUAGAAGAACCUUGGUUUGCAGAAGGUCAUGGUCACAUAAUGGCUUAUCCCUUUCGAAGGCCAAGAACAAAUGGAGGAUGAGAAUUAAGCAGAAGAAUCCAAUCUGUUUUGACGGUGUGUGAAAUGACACUAACUAUUGCAAAACUUAAUGUCUCGGUGUGUAGGCAUCUCUGUGGACAGCUGCCAAAACCCACCAAGAUGAGUGUGAACGUCUGGGUGUCCGCUGACGGAGGUACGUUAUCCCCUGUGACUGCGUUAGUCGAUUGCGUGGUUGAUGAAACCCUAACCUUAGGUUUGUUUUCAUUUGGCCGUUUUGGUUCAAAUCUUUUAACUUGCCGAUGCCAGGACUCUUGUCAUAGUUACUCUGACACGCUGCAGUACAUAUUGGUGUUGCCAAUACAAUGCAGUACAAGUGGAUGCAAAUAUGGACAAGUCAAUUAAUCAGAUUAUGUUUUUUAACAGAUUGGAACUUGGCCUAGCCACACGGUGAUUGUCCAACGUGGGAACACAAAAUGGAGGGACCUGAGCCUGGAUGGUGGCAAUGUCUCAAAGGUAAGAUUUUAUUUUUAGAUUUAAAUUUUAUUUUCCUCCCUAUUGUCUUUUUUACGAAUGUGGAUUUUAGUAUUUAUAUCACUUUCAAUGACGAUAUCCCUGUCCAGUUCUGCUACUGAAUGCAAGUGACGAUAAUGUGACUCUGAGAUACAUUUUGUACUAGCAUUUUCCUGGAAACCGCUUGUACAUCUUCCUAAUAUUGCUGUGAUGCCGUUUUUCAGGCUCACACGCAGGACGCACCAUGUGGUCUACGGUGCCUCCAGCAGGACGCUGUGAGAACCCAGACUUGUGAAGAGUGGCGGUGUCCUGGUUGAGGCUUCAGUGAAUAACAGCGUGGUUUGCCAGCCCUACUGGAUGCAAAGCUGGUGAGGAUUUCAACAUGAUUUUCGAUUAUUCUUUUUUUAAUAUAUGGAGUGUUUGUGGUUAGAGCCACAUCUAAAACUUGGCCUUUCAGUGAAGAUAACAUUGUCCAGUUCUGCUACUGAAUGCAUGUGACGAUAUUUGUGACUCUGAGGAAGGCCAUAUAAUAAAGUUAAAACAUUUUAGAGCACUGGAACAUGCUAGAGGUAGGCAUGAAUUGUUUGGCCUCAGAAUCUCACUUUAUUCUUGUCCAUCUCCUGCAGUCUCCACAUGAAGAGCUCCUGAACACUUUCUUGCAAGAUCAGAAAGUUCUGCAAGGGCCCAGCAGAGUACAGUGAAGAGCUUGAGAUACCUGAAAUGGAAAAGAGAACAACAUAUUGAUUAAAAAAUAAAUCAACUUUCC
ensembl:lncRNA